AUACGUAGGGGACAAGCGUUAUCCGGAUUUACUGGGUGUAAAGGGAGCGUAGGCGGCAAAGCAAGUCAGAAGUGAAAGCCCGCGGCUCAACUGCGGGACUGCUUUUGAAACUGUUUAGCUAGAGUACUGGAGGGGCCAGCGGAAUUCCUGGUGUAGCGGUGAAAUGCGUAGAUAUCAGGAAGAACACCGGAGGCGAAGGCGGCUUGCUGGACAGAUACUGACGCUGAGGCUCGAAGGCGUGGGGAGCAAACAGGAUUAGAUACCCUGGUAGUCCACGCGGUAAACGAUGAAUGCUAGAUAUUGGCUUCCAUAGGGAGUCGGUGUCGCAGUUAACGCAAUAAGCAUUCCACCUGGGGAGUACGUUCGCAAGAAUGAAACUCAAAGGAAUUGACGGGG
rnacentral:rRNA from 1 species